AUAUAAAAAUGGGGUAGAUUCCCUCCAAUUCAGAAAUGUUUUUGUAAGCAUUUUUUGCAAGAGGCUAUUCCGUCACCUCCUAACAACAACUUUAACAGUUACUCUAAGAAUCUGAUAGUAAUCACUUCCUUCAGGGUUUGUUUUUCACCUACUUCACCAGAUUCAUCAAAAAUUAACCAACUUGUCAUGAGCAUCUAAAAGCACUCACACAAAGCAUCAGAAUUAACUAUUGAUUAACAUGAUUAAUAAUUUUGGAUUUGUAAAAGUAGUAGCCUUUCAACUACUUCUUUCUGUUGUUGGCCUUUCAAAUUUCUUUUGAUCCAAUAGCUUACUCUCUUUGCCGUUGUUUCUCAAACAAGGGGUUGAUUCUAUUUCUAAACUUCAGACUGCGAAAAGGUAAGAACAAGUUCAAAGUCUCGUUUUUCUAUUUUUCGCUAUCUUCUACCAGGGAUUUCUCCUGAUAAACUUUUUAUAUAACCCACAGAAUUUGAAAGAAAGAGAACUUGAAAGACGCCUAUAGUCAUGGAAAUGAAGGAGAAAGAAAAAACAACUUUGUGGUGUCCUUUUCUGCUCUUUGCAAGGACGUUAGUGUUCCAAGAAAUGCUAUCUGGCCUUGGUUAUGUUGUUUUGGAAGUGUUCCCUUGAACCUUGGCAUAUUGAUUGCAUAACGAAAUUCCAUGGAAAAUAGGACGAGGGAAAUAGACAUGUCAAGUGGCAGGUUUUAUGUCCAUUAAGUAUAGGAUGGCUGAAUUUUGGUAAACAAACUCGAAAAAAUAUCCCUGAUGGUGGUCUCAACUCAAAGGUGACAAGCGCAUACUAUGCGGAGGGCGAUUUCAAGCCUAAUGUUAGAAAGUAAUGGAAGCCUACUUCAGAACCCUGAUGCAUCCAAGAAACCUAUCUGGCCUUUGUUAUAUGGUUAAUUCUUUAGUGCUUCUGAAGUACAAAUUUGAUACUGUGGAUUUACUUUUCUAACAUAACAGAGGAAGAUGUUGGUCUCUGACAUGCAAUUCACAAUCAUCCAGGCAGAAGAAUCGAACAUGAGAAUCUCGUUGUACUUGUGUGUUUAAGUUCUCUAGCUGCGACAUUGGCUUCUGUACAUGAAUCGUUCGUCUGUACAAACCACAAAUAGUAAGUUGUGCUUUGCUGGGUAGAUUGUAUAUGACUAUGAAACUUCUAUUACAGUUGUUUUGGAA